GAGAUCCUACUGAAACUGUAAAGUAGGUAUUGUGUGCGUGUGUGUAUCGUGGCUGUUACUGUUCUUCAGCGUCGCGCUUGGCUCGAACGGUGUGUUUUGUGGCGUAAGUAAAGCUGUUGCUUUGAUUUAUUCUGAAAUACUUCAUCGAUUAGUAGUGUUAUCGUUUUCGAAUUAAUGAUUUUACUUCCACGUUUUCAGUAUUUCGUUUCGUUUGUUCGUUAAUUGUUAAGUGGUGUGUUGGAAACUGAUUUUGAACGACUGCUCUGAAUCAAAAAAAUCCAUUUUUUAAACAAGAUGAUCGUUGAAUAAUUUGGCCAACUCAAUGAACUCAGUGUGUAUCGAUGUGGGUUUUGUAUGCCUCAUAUUAUUGCUGGCAACAAAUCCAUUGGCUGGUCAAAGCAGCACGUGCAGAUAUGGAAAACAACAUGGAUACUUCGCUGCUGAAUGCAGUGGUAUGAAUUUAUGGGACGUACCUACUUUACAAUCGACUGAUAUCGAGGCACUCGAUUUAUCAAACAAUCGUCUCCGUGCUUUAAAAAACAACACUUUAAAAUGUUGCACUUCGAUCAAAUUCCUGUACCUUCAAAUCAACGGUAUUUUAAACAUCGAAGCAAAUGCUCUUCAACCACUUACAGAAUUAAACGUUUUGGAUCUCAGUUGGAACGGUUUCGAUAAAUUGCCUACGGCCGUAUCGCCUACGUUACGUAAAUUGUACCUAGAAGGUGUUCCCAAGUUAUUCGAAAACUUACAAAACAACGAGUUUAAAAUAACGCAUUUGAAAAAUCUCGAGAGUCUCACAAUUUCUGCCAAUGAAUUAAAGAAAUUUCCGUCCUUCGGUGGUUCGGUUCCUAGUCUGUUAGAGUUGAACAUAACAGACAACUAUAUCGAAGAAAUAACUCCCGAUGAUUUAGCACCUUUAUGCCAAUUGAAGUUUUUACACGUGGGACCAGAUACGUUGUUCAUGAAUAAGGAUGCGAAAACAUUAUGCCAAUGUAUGAAAUUAGCAAAUUGGACGUCCGCGUAUAAUAUUCAAGUUUCAUCGUUUACCUGUAAAUACGAUAAGUCGACCAUACUAGACAAAUGCGACUUAAGACCAUCGAAUGUAACUUUGGCGAAACGCGAAGCAUGUCUGACCGAGAUGAAAAAUCGUCAAAUUCCGUAUUGGUUGAUGAUCGGAGGCGGUAUUUUGGCGGCGAUAACAUGCAUUUGUAUUUUAUUAUACGUCCGUUAUCGACGUCGGCAGCGAGAAUCCGCCAAAAACGGACACGACCGUAAUUCGGCCGUGAAGUAUGACAAUAAAGGCGACGAAAAGUAAUUACCUACGAAUACCUAAUUCCAUUACUUACGAUAAGUCGAUCAAUUUUAAGAUUUUUUUUCGUCUCGUUAUACGAAAACGCUCAUCGUCUCUCUAUAAGACACGGUGACACUAGGCUUGGGGCAUUAAAGCGAUGACGCUUUGUUUAAACAACGAUGCGGAAUCACUCUCAUUAUAAUAGCAAUGAACGGCCCGAAGAGGAUAAACUUUUGAAGCAGUGAUAAUGAAUGCAUGCUGUAUUAACACAAUUUUGGGGUUUUCGGUGUUCGCAUUUACUCUAUAAUACACUUCUCGUGUGUUUGUACAAAGAAAAAAAAAUUCAAACCAAAAUAUACGCCAAAUCAAUUAAUACUUAUCUUAGGUUUUGUUUUUGAAUUAAUUUGUUUUACGCAGUGGUGUUAAUCCUGCUUUUAAUGGCUACCACGGAGGAGGAGGUCGCGGAGUUGAAACAACUGUUUAGCCUACAGAUAUGGACGUCUUCUCUUGUACUGCUGGCGAAACUUUCUACAGGAUACGGAACGACUCCUUCAGACACCGCUUUAUUUUUAUUAUUUAUUGUGUAUUGUGUAUUUGUAAAUUUAUUUACGAAAUUUCGAAUCUCUAUCCAUAUAUUUUUUUCAAUGAACUGGGUGAAGUUCAAGAACUAGUCAAACGAUUAUUAUUUUUUUUAUAUAUAUGUAUUACAGAAAUGUAUACUCUUGUGUAUUCUCCCCCUCCCCUUCUUUGAAUUUUUUCCUCUUUUGUUUUGUCACGUUCAUUUUACGUAUCAAGUUAAGUUUGUAUGUAUAAUUUAAUUGUUGCAUUUAAUUAAGAACGUAACGUUAUACUAUUUUAUGUGUAUAUGGACACAAGAAUUCACCCUAUUUCACAAAAUUUUCUGUGUCACGUGAUGAGCAAGCGAUUCCGUCGUAUAGCUUUGGCAAUUUUUUUUCUUUUUUGUUCUACUCUCCUUUGGAUAAUUAGUUACCAAUUCAACAGUCGAAGUGUUCACCCGUUUCAAUGUUACUGGUCACUGUUCAGUCUAAAAAUAAUGUUUUCAAGUGCCUGAAAUAUCUGUACUCAUAAGGGAACAAUACGACAAUAAUUUGGCAUAUGUAAGCGGUGGUACAAAUAUGCUAAUUUUUUCUUUUUCAACCCGACCGACGAAUAUAUUAAACGGAUGAACGAGGUUACCUGUAUGAUGAACUUGAUGUGUAGAUAUGAUAACAUGUGUAGUGUAUAAAGUAGAUAACGCGGGUCGUUGUGUAAUUAAUAUUGUUUGAUGAAAUGAGGUGUGAAUAGUGUUGUAUCAUUGAAAAAGAUACAAUCUAAAAAAAGUGGUAAUUUUUUAACGUAAUUUUGGUGCUUUUUGUUUAUGGAGUAGAGUAAGUGUUGCGAAAAGUUUCUGAUUGUUGGAAUCAGGAUUUUAUCAUAAAAUGGACAUUUUUUUCAUACUUUUUCGAUUUAUUCGAAGAUCAGUAUUUACUUACCUAAAAGGUUGUCGUACCGCUGCAAAAGUAUUCCAAAUUGAUGUGUUCAUUAAAUUAAGAAGCGUAUGUCAACAGCUUCAUUUCAUUUAAAUUUUUGUGGUCCAUUUAUCAAUUUUUUUCAUUCGUGUAAAAUUUUACAACUUUGGAAGUUAUAAGUGCCAUUUUAUUUUUUUUAUUCGUUUCAGAAUAAAUGUGCUAAUUUUAAUGAAAGUAAGGAAAAUUAUUCAAAUAAUUCAUAAUGAGCAAUUUUUGAAAUGCAAAUGAAGUUAAGAUGGAUCAUUUUUUUUUGUAUUUCAUUUUUUAAAAAUUGUAUUCAUUUUAAACGCUGUAAAUUGAAAUUUGAUUAUGAUAAAGUACUUAUGUAUAUGUACCAUUGAAAAAAAAAACUUCUGGUGAACAAUUUUGCUUAGUUUGAAAAUUGAAAAAGCAGCAACCGACUAUUGAAGAAGUUUUGAAAACAAUGAUCAUGAAUUUAAAGUCCCUUUAAUUUGCAAAAUGAAAAAAAAAAAAUCAUGUGAUCUAAUUUUACUCACUCCGUGUCAUACUACCCAUUCCUAUGAUCAAAAAUUCAUUUUAAUCUUCUUUUCUUUUUGCUCGGUGGCUGUUCCUUCUGUUUUCAAACUAAACUAUAUCAUGUUUUUCUGAAGUUGAAAAUUUGUUGUGAACUACUUAUCACAUUGUUUCGAUAUCUAAAUAAUUGCAAUUUUUAACCCUACUUUCAUUCACACUGAAAAAAAAAGGAAAAAAACAAGAUUCGAUCCAUCUUGAUUUAGAAAUUCUUUCGAAGGCAAUAGUUAUUUUUAGAAUUUGAUCUCGUUACAGCAAAUAAUUGGAAAAUAUUGAAAAUUACGGGCCAGUGAUAGACAUGGCCGUUAUGUAAAUUAAAAAAGUAAUAUUCGAUCUCAUUUUUGAUUGGCCUACAGCCUAAUGCUUAUUUUCAUCCAUCUAUCACUCAGAUAGGAUAUAAAAUCGAUUACUUUAUUUUGUAUUAAUAGAAAAUGUUCAUGAGUACGAAUUGAACGUUAUCGUCGAGUAUAUUGGAAAUACUUUAAUUUUAAAAUUACGUCAUCAAGUAAAAAGAACAUACGAUUUUGUAAAACUCAUAAACUAAAGUCGAUUAAGUAAGAGGAAAAUAUACUGUAAGAUGAUAGCAUUUAUGCGAGAGUGGUAUAGAAUUAUCGAUAAAAUCAAUUUUUUUUUAAAUGAACAUUCCAUAGUUACAGAAGUCUCGAUAAUGUAAAACUCAAUUUCAACCGAGAAUCGAGAAAUCAUAAUAUUUACCUACGUAAAAUAAAAUAUUUGUACAUGCUGAGGCACUUUUCCAGCAUAUGUAAAAAUAUUACUAAUGUGGCCGAAUCAGCUAAGCUUUCAAAUACAAAUAUAAAUUAAUAUACUACCUAAGUUACAUUUUAAUAGGUACCUUCUACCUUGGUAUCGUAAAUUGAUCAUUGAAGUAUUAUGAUGUUAAACAUCCAGUGCCAUUUUAGAGUAUUUUUUUUUUUAUUAACAGGGUAUAUUUUUUUUGCAUUUAAAACCAGGAAUGUAAGUAUUUUCCAUUUUGAAUGUAAAAAAGAAUUGAAACGGUUACCUGUGCUAGAAUUUUCGCUUGUUGCUUCGGUUUUUAUUUUCCUUUUUUUUUUUUGUCUCGUUUUCCAAAUCUACAUGGAACUGGAAAUGUUGACUUAUGACUUAUAAAAUAUGCCAAUGUACCUAUACCUAUACAAUUGUGUUUUUAUUAUUAUGUAUUUCGUAUACAUCUUGAAAACGCGGCAGAGUCAUUAAUUAUGCAUUAAGCUUGAAUAGCAUCGCCUGUUUUAUUCAUUUAUGUAUUUUGUGUACUUAAUUUUUCCUGUUUUCUUAUUUAUUUAUUUUUUCGCUAUUUAUUAUUAAUUGUUAAUGUGUUUUUUGUGUAUGUUUUCGUAUGUGUAUGUAUUUUACGAAUUUUUUCGUUAUCGAUAUUCAAGCUACUUAAUUCUUUUUGUAAAUUCGUGACAUUUUGCAUUACAUCGAAAUAUAUUUAAUUUUCACUUCGUAAA